UGCCGUGUUAUCCACUGAACGAGUGUCUGAAUGGAGGCAACUGCAGCUCCUGUUUUAGUGAUGGCAGUAUCUUGUGCACCUGUCCUGAAGGAUACGUCGGUGCCUUCUGUGAAACAGUCGAUUGGUGCCACUCGAACCCCUGUCCGUUUGACUGGACCUGUGUGAACCAAGAUGGCGGGAUCCACUGUACAGUGCCGAGUGAACUGAGAUCCGUGAGUUCCAGAUACUGUACUACAUCCUCCUGUGCCCCAGGCUGGACCUGUGAGGAAGAUGGCUCGGCUGGGUACUACUGUCUUAGUGGCUAAAAUCUGGUCACGAGUCUCAUCAGGCACAAGCAAUUUGAUUCCACAUGAAUCCUGCUUGCCUCACCUUUUGAAUGAAAACGGCAUGCCCACCAGUGUAGCAUUUACAAAAAAAGACAAAACCUUGCAAAUCUCUGGAAAAACAACGGUUGAAAGUGUAUUUUCUCUCUGUA